AAUGCUUCUAGCAGCAAUGUUUCAAUGACAAAAUGUUGGCGACCUGAAUAAUUGAAAUACUGUACCAAACUAGGUACCAACUAAGUCUACCUCCUGCUUCCUACAGACUAUGGCAUGUGACAUAUCCCGUUCAUGUACCAAGACCUGGAUAGUACCAUGUUCUUGGUAACUAAGUAACUAUGAUUUAGUAAGUGUGUAUUUGUUAAAUAAGGGGAACUUAGUUGAUAAGCAAACGGGUGGGAGAAGACAUGGUAAUUAACAAAUACACAAGGAAGCUAGGUGGGAUCCCAAUAACUCACUGCAUAAACUCAAGUCAGUAGUUUUUCCCACCUAGCUUCCU
rnacentral:misc_RNA from 1 species